GACGAACGCUGGCGGCGUGCUUAACACAUGCAAGUCGAACGAAGAGCGAUGGAAGCUUGCUUCUAUCAAUCUUAGUGGCGAACGGGUGAGUAACGCGUAAUCAACCUGCCCUUCAGAGGGGGACAACAGUUGGAAACGACUGCUAAUACCGCAUACGAUCUAAUCUCGGCAUCGAGGAUGGAUGAAAGGUGGCCUCUACAUGUAAGCUAUCACUGAAGGAGGGGACUGCGUCUGAUUAGCUAGUUGGAGGGGUAACGGCCCACCAAGGCGAUGAUCAGUAGCCGGUCUGAGAGGAUGAACGGCCACAUUGGGACUGAGACACGGCCCAGACUCCUACGGGAGGCAGCAGUGGGGAAUCUUCCGCAAUGGACGAAAGUCUGACGGAGCAACGCCGCGUGAGUGAUGACGGCCUUCGGGUUGUAAAGCUCUGUUAAUCGGGACGAAAGGCCUUCUUGCGAAUAGUGAGAAGGAUUGACGGUACCGGAAUAGAAAGCCACGGCUAACUACGUG
rnacentral:rRNA from 1 species